AACGAACGCUGGCGGCAGGCCUAACACAUGCAAGUCGAACGCUGUAGCAAUACAGAGUGGCAGACGGGUGAGUAACGCGUGGGAACGUGCCCUUUGGUUCGGAAUAACCCAGGGAAACUUGGGCUAAUACCGGAUACGUCCGUAAGGAGAAAGAUUUAUCGCCAAAGGAUCGGCCCGCGUCGGAUUAGCUAGUUGGUGAGGUAAAGGCUCACCAAGGCGACGAUCCGUAGCUGGUCUGAGAGGAUGACCAGCCACACUGGGACUGAGACACGGCCCAGACUCCUACGGGAGGCAGCAGUGAGGAAUAUUGGACAAUGGGCGCAAGCCUGAUCCAGCCAUGCCGCGUGAGUGAAGAAGGCCUUAGGGUUGUAAAGCUCUUUCAGCGGGGAAGAUAAUGACGGUACCCGCAGAAGAAGCCCCGGCUAACUCCGUGCCAGCAGCCGC
rnacentral:rRNA from 1 species